rnacentral:rRNA from 2 species
AAAUUGAAGAGUUUGAUCAUGGCUCAGAUUGAACGCUGGCGGCAGGCCUAACACAUGCAAGUCGAACGGUAACAGGAAGCAGCUUGCUGCUUCGCUGACGAGUGGCGGACGGGUGAGUAAUGUCUGGGAAACUGCCUGAUGGAGGGGGAUAACUACUGGAAACGGUGGCUAAUACCGCAUAACGUCGCAAGACCAAAGAGGGGGACCUUCGGGCCUCUUGCCAUCAGAUGUGCCCAGAUGGGAUUAGCUUGUUGGUGAGGUAACGGCUCACCAAGGCGACGAUCCCUAGCUGGUCUGAGAGGAUGACCAGCCACACUGGAACUGAGACACGGUCCAGACUCCUACGGGAGGCAGCAGUGGGGAAUAUUGCACAAUGGGCGCAAGCCUGAUGCAGCCAUGCCGCGUGUAUGAAGAAGGCCUUCGGGUUGUAAAGUACUUUCAGCGGGGAGGAAGGGAGUAAGGUUAAUAACCUUAUUCAUUGACGUUACCC